CCUUGGGUGGAAGCUUACUAGGCCAAGCAACAAUAUUGACAAUGACGAUGACGUACUUGAAGGUCUCCGACCACAUUCUAGUUUGGAAUUUUUGGAGAUUAAGGGGUUCAUGGGUGCUAAAUUUCCAACAUGGCUAUUGCUAGCCAACAAUUUGAAGUCUGAAAUCCUCUUCCAUUUGUGAUUACUUAAAUAAUAAGAUUUUCAAGAAUUUUAGCGAUUUUGUAUCUUGCCAGCUGCUCUGUUGUAGUUGAGAUUACGGCUGCCAUGCAACCAUAAGCAGUCAGUGCAGGCAUAACCAUUCUCAGAUCAAAUAAAAUUCAGAGAUCCCUGUACAUUACUUAUCAUAUGAGGCAUUGAUUUGUUCAUUGACACACAUGGAGGAAGGCUUGUCCCUGCAGAAGAUUAUUGAAUUGUAUUCAAGUCAUAAGUACAAGCAAUUCCGUAAUUUCAUGAAGUUCAAGGUGCAUGGUGGUAGUUCUGGCUAGCUAGGACACAUUCAGUUGUGACAGUUGGCUCAGGAAUUCUGAUGAGCUCAAAACUUUCAAUUGGGUUUACCGAGUUUCAGAGUUGGGAAGUUAUCCAUCAAAAGUAUGCAAGAAUCUGAAGUAUUUACCUUCCAUUGAACCUAUGCAAGGCCUCACCAAAUUAAAUGAGAUACGCAUUGGUAAUUGUCUCCUUAUACAAGAAAGAUGCACUGAGGAGAGCGGCACAAAGUAGCCUAAGAUUUGUCAUAUUCCACAAAUCCAGGUUUAAUGAGACAUAGUGUUAGGGAUGUUGAAGCUAGCUAUACACAAGGCCAAUCUACGUACACCGAAGCAAUUCCUAGUUUCUUAAAGUUUCUUGAAGUGUGCAGGAGCAUCUAUUAUUAUUUCGAUCUGUAAGUGGGUUUCUUGGGGAAUUUUAUCAACUGGCGCAGAGUGCAAACAGAGUCCAGCUUUCUACGAUUGAUUCGUAAUGAAAUUCAGGGGAUUGAAAUACUUUGGUGAUUAAAAACAAACUUUCAUCUUGGAAGCUCGUAAAUUUUUGUAAUACAUUAGAACAAACUUUUAUUUGUACUUCUGUCACUCGGUUUUAUUUUUAUUUUUAUUUUGUAUAUAAUCUAUUAUUAGUAUCGUGUACGUGAUUGAGAAAACUGUUUGCCAUCAAUUAGGGCUCUUUCCCCUAAAUUUCCAGGGACCUGACAUAGCAAGAGUGCUUAAGGGGCACUUACGAUUUCUUAAGGGUUUGUAAUUUGAAGAGCUCUAUAGCCAAGA